rnacentral:rRNA from 1 species
CGUGUAGGCGGCUAGGUAGGUCCGUUGUGAAAACUCGAGGCUCAACCUCGAGACGCCGAUGGAAACCAUCUGGCUAGAGUCCGGAAGAGGAGAGUGGAAUUCCUGGUGUAGCGGUGAAAUGCGCAGAUAUCAGGAAGAACACCCGUGGCUAAGGCGGCUCUCUAGUACGGUACUGACGCUGAGACGCGAAAGCGUGGGGAGCGAACA